GGCAGUGGUAGCUCAGUGGUUUAACUGUUGGACUACUGAUCGGAAGGUCACGAGUUCAAUCCCCAGCACUGCCA